GUUCAGCGCGUUGCGGCGUCUCAACGUCUUCUUCUCUCUUUCCCUUUGUUCCGCUUCCCGCCUCCUCACGCUUUCAGCCCCUUGGCCGCCUGGCUCAGCAGUCUGACCGUCGGGGACUCGGAACGCAAGCCGUCGGCCGGUCAGCGGUGGGACUCGCCGUGCGACGUCCCCGGCGAGGGCGCCGGCGCCGGCCUGGUCCAGAGAUGCGUGGUGGUGCAGAAGGACCAGCUGGGUUUCGGCUUCACCGUGUGCGGAGAGCGGGUGAAGCUGGUUCAGAAUGUGCGAGCAGGUGC